rnacentral:rRNA from 1 species
CUUGCUCCCUUAUAUCAGCGGCGGACGGGUGAGUAACACGUGUGUAACCUGCCUGUAAGACUGGGAUAACUCCGGGAAACCGGGGCUAAUACCGGAUAACUCAUUUCCUCGCAUGAAGAAAUGUUGCUUAUGGCUUCUGCUAUCACUUGUGAUGGACCCGCGGCGCAUUAUGUUGUUGGUGAGGUAACGGCUCACCAAGGCAACGAUGCGUACCCAACCUGAGAGGGGGAUCGGCCACACUGGGACUGAGACCCGGCCCCUACUCCUACCGGGGGCAGCAAUUGGGAAUCUUCCGGAAUGGACCAGAGUCUGACGUGCCAACGGCGCGUGAAUGGUGAACGUUUUGCGAUCGCUUGCUCUGUUGAUAAGGAAAAAAAAGUGCCGUUCUUUUACGGUGGCACCUUGACGGUAACUAACCAGAAAGCCACUGCUAGCCACCUGCCAACAGCCGCGGUAAUACGUAAGCGGCAAGCGUAGUCCCUGAAUUAUUGAGCGUAAAGCGCGCGCUGGUGGAUCCUUAAGUCUGAUGUCCAAGCUCACGCUUGAACCU